GUUUGAGGUUAUGGCAAAUUUGGAGAAUUUUUUUUAUUGAUUUGGUGACAUGUUGUUUGUGUUCUGGCGAAAGGGGGUUAGGGGGUCCAAGGGGACGCUCAGCUGAUUAAAUCCGACCUGGAGGGGAUGAUCGAGGUCUCUGGGUGAAUCGGGUGUAUUCGUGAAUGGGGGGGAUCGCGCCAAUUGUACGUGAUAAUUCGGUGAUGUUGGAAAUUUGAUUAGCGGGACAGUGAGGAUUCGAGCGUUUGAGGACGACCCGGGGCUAGUGACAUCUUUGGUGCUCUAUCUGGAGAGCGAAGAAUUAAUUCAGUGAGGAGCUGGACCAGGAUGAGGAUGUGUUGUAGGUACCUAUGUACUGGAAGUUAUCCAUACUGAUGACAUCGAUGACAGGACACACAACACGACUUGGAUCCUCAUCGACCCUCUCCAGCAGUGGCUCCAGCCAGUCGGCAUUACAUUCGCAAUGU